rnacentral:rRNA from 1 species
CUGAGCGGCAGCGCCUAACACAUGCAAGUCGAGCGGCAGCGGGAAAGUAGCUUGCUACUUUUGCCGGCGAGCGGCGGACGGGUGAGUAAUGCCUGGGAAAUUGCCCAGUCGAGGGGGAUAACAGUUGGAAACGACUGCUAAUACCGCAUACGCCCUACGGGGGAAAGCAGGGGACCUUCGGGCCUUGCGCGAUUGGAUAUGCCCAGGUGGGAUUAGCUAGUUGGUGAGGUAAUGGCUCACCAAGGCGACGAUCCCUAGCUGGUCUGAGAGGAUGAUCAGCCACACUGGAACUGAGACACGGUCCAGACUCCUACGGGAGGCAGCAGUGGGGAAUAUUGCACAAUGGGGGAAACCCUGAUGCAGCCAUGCCGCGUGUGUGAAGAAGGCCUUCGGGUUGUAAAGCACUUUCAGCGAGGAGGAAAGGUUGAUGCCUAAUACGUANCAACUGUGACGUUACUCGCAGAAGAAGCACCGGCUAAC